AUUAUUCAAGCAGAUGACGAAAUCAGGCUAAAAAUUGUAGGCACGAGAGUCGAUGCUACAGGAAUUUUCGCUAUUGGAACGUUAAUGGAUGAUUAUUUAGGUCUCGUAUGCAAUUAACAUCUGCAUUUUUAUAUUAUAAUAAAUUAUAUAAAUAUUUAUAAUAAGAAAAUUAUAUAAUAAUAAAUAAAUAAUAAUU